rnacentral:rRNA from 1 species
ACAGCAGUCGCCGCGGUAAUACAGAGGGUGCAAGCGUUAAUCGGAAUUACUGGGCGUAAAGCGUACGUAGGCGGCUUUGUAAGUUAGAGGUGAAAGCCUGGAGCUCAACUCCAGAAUUGCCUUUAAGACUGCAUCGCUUGAACGUCGGAGAGGUGAGUGGAAUUCCGAGUGUAGAGGUGAAAUUCGUAGAUAUUCGGAAGAACACCAGUGGCGAAGGCGGCUCACUGGACGACUGUUGACGCUGAGGUACGAAAGCGUGGGGAGCAAACAGGAUUAGAUACCCCCGUAGUCCCUGUCUCUUAUAC